AUUUGGCAGUGGGGUUGGAGCUAGAUGACCUUUAAUGUCCCUUCCAACCCAAACCAUUCUAUGAUUCUAUGACAUCCACAGGUGCAACACCACCAAGGAGAGAGGAAAAGACCUCCAGGGGAAUAUAUUUGUAGGAACCUCCCUUACUGCUCACAGACACCCAGCACUUGCCAAUAAGAGACACAGUGAGUGUGAAGUUACCGGCUCUGCACCAAGGGCUCACAGGAGCUGGCAGAGCACAAAUUCACAGUUAUCAGAGAUGAUCAGAGUGCCUACAAGGAUGCUACCAGGAGCAUGUAGGGCUAAUGAGGACAUUGUGUACAUAGAGGAAGCGACAAUUAUGUGGAGUCGUGACGAACAGCCCAGAAACAUCACAGUUGUUCACGCACCUGAAAACAAGAGGAGCUUGUUAUCACAGUCAGGGACCUGGAUCCCAAGACACAAGAGAGAUUUAAAACUGUUCGGCACAGAGUGGAGCUUCAAAAUCAACAGUGUCUGUGUCUGAUACAAGACGAAGAGCAGAGCUCAGGACCUCCUGUACAAGGCAAUUUUGUUGUCAUCAUGGCAUACAUGGGGGCAUUAUACCAAAUUUGUGUUUGGCUCAUCACAAAGCUCACUCUGUGUGAGUCUCAAAAUCCUGUGCUGCUUUCAGCCUGGCUGCCAGAGUGGCCGUGGGUUGGUUCAGCCCUGCAAGGACAUGGGUCAAGUUCAGUCUGCUGCAAAGAAAGAGGCCUUCAUGAGGUUGCGUUUUUCAGCUUCCUUCCCCAUUUGUAUUGUUUUCUGUUUCAAUAAAUCAUGGAGUGCCGGUGAAAUCCCCAA